GACGAACCGAGCGAACGUUGUUCGGAAUCACUGGGCUUAAAGGGCGCGUAGGCGGGCUGUCAAGUUUGGGGUGAAAUCCCGCGGCUCAACCGUGGAACUGCCUCAAAUACUGACGGUCUCGAGGGGGGUAGGGGCGAGCGGAACUGUGAGUGGAGCGGUGAAAUGCGUUGAUAUUCACAGGAACUCCGGUGGCGAAGGCGGCUCGCUGGACCUCUUCUGACGCUGAGGCGCGAAAGCCAGGGGAGCAAACGGG
rnacentral:rRNA from 1 species